CGGGCGGCGUGGCCGGGGCCGGGCGGACCUGAGCCCGGCGUUGGCCGCGGGGAAGGAGGUGGAAGUGCUCCUGGCUGCAGAGAAGCAUGCUGAAGUUGGUGGUGUGGUCAGGUGCAGCAGUGGCAGAGCUUAGCAGCAGGCGCAGAAAGAGACACGUGGUGCAGAACUUGCCAGCCUACAAAGGACCUGCUCCAGUCCUCAGGAGAGCUCCGUAUCAGACUUCCCAGCAGACAGAAAUUUGCUCCGUGCUUGUCUUUAACGUAGCGUUGAGGCUGUAACUGCAUGGCAUGUGUUGCUCGUUGUAAAUAGCAUGAUAAUCGAUAAGGACUUACACAAAUAGAGGAGAAAACUGCCUUCUCUCCCUCAGGCUGGGAUGUUAUAUUAUUCAUUACUCCAUUUAUUCGUUUGUAUAAAUAGGACAUAUGGAUAUGUUCCUUGGAAACAGAAGGAUUACAUGGAGUAAAGUCAGUCCUGACUUCUGGAUAGUUUGAAUAACCUUAUUUGCCAGACUCAGCGAUUGCUUGGUCAUUGUGAAGUUGUCUUUCCCCUAAGCUGAUCAAGUUUAGGAUUUUGCUUUGUAUGCACGUAUUAUACAAAUACAUUUAUAUGCGAAUCUUUCUGCUUUCGGUGUUUUUUUUGCAUAACAAAUUUAUCGUAUCACAACGUAUGACUGAUCAUGUGAGUCAUAUACUAUUCUUUUACUCGAUCAGAUGUCUCUAAACCCUUCUGUAGUAACAUUACCCUUGUAUUUCCUUGGUGAGGCUGUCUGUACAUGCUCAUACAUGCAUGUAGUAUGUGUGUGUGUUUGUACAUGCAAAAACACAACCUUCAUUUUACAUGCGUGGCUCUUACGGAGGCAGAAGCAGUCAGCAGGCAGGCAGUGGUGCUGGAGGUGUUGUGGAGCAGGCAGGAGCAGCCGGCUGUGCAGCAGGCCCACCCUGAGUGCAUCCCUGCAGACACACACCGUGUUUUGCACAGUUUAUCUUUGCCUUCGGGCUCAUGUAAACUAGAACUGUAGUGAUAAACUGCGCAGAUCUCUGUUACAGAUUCUUGAAUUCUCCCUUUAUUACUUAAUGUGCUUAUAACACUUUUUUACUUUAUGAAUUAGAAUUGAAGGCACUGCAGCUCCUAUUUAGUUACAUUGUGUUUCUUAUUACUGCCAGACAUGUUCACCACAGCUGGAAGCACUGCAGUGAGUACCAAAGGAAUUAUGCCCUAAGUGGAGUCUGAGGCAGAAAUGCCACAGUGCUCUUCUCCAAAGGUUUGUGUGAACUGCAGAACAUCUGCUCCUUCGCUUCUGGUAGUGAAUAUAUCCUGAUCUGUCAGUGCUGUCACUUAGCAGGGCUUACACUUCAAGCACUCUCCUAAGGCUGGCUGCUCUUCACAACAGCCUAGUGAAGAGAGAGCAGGCCAGAAUGCCUUAGAACCACGGUUUGAAUUUGGCUGAAGGACAAACCUGCAGGGGCAGCUGCUUUCGUGCUGGGGUCUAUGUGUGCCUUCUGCAAGAAGGGUCUGCUAUAGGGCACCAGGACAAGCAGUGAGUGGUUGAUCAUGGCUGUGAUGUGCCCAGUGAGGAUCAGAAAAAGGCCGUUCUGCAUGUCUGCUCAGUGGUAGGAAUGAGGACAGGGAAUAUCAGGCAGCAGUACGAGGUGGAAGGCUGCAGCAGAUAAGGGCAGAGUGCAGCAGUGGGAGAAGCAGCAGCAGCUGGAGCUCAGGGCCGGGUGGUAUGUUUGCAGAUAACACACGUGGCUUGUUGAGACUGUUUAAAACAAUUUCUCCUACAAACUGCUUUUUGCCAGUGAUUUAAUUGCUGGUUUGCAACUGCAUGUGAAUCACUGUUUGAACUGUUGUUUGUAUUUAUCUUCCUCAAAUACGCAGCAUUAAUUCCGGAGUAAUAGGAUUGUCAAGCUACCAUGUGUAUUGUUCUGAUCUGUAAAUGAAAAUAACCAUUAGUUAACAUCCGAUGGAGUUCAUCAGCUAGAUGUCUUGGCUGCAACUCUGUUUUAUGUGGGCAGAAUUUAAAUGGGAUCGGGGUCAGCAGUAAUUCAGUCUGAUUAAGGAUGUGGGGUUUGCUUAUUGCUGAGCUGUAUGCAGAUUAGAAAAGAACAGUCAGGGAACUUGCAUUAGCUGUGAAUGAAAACAAAGAUCAAUCCAUAUCUCUGUUCUUUACUCAUCACCUUGGGUGGGGACUGUGCUUCUCCAACAGGCGGGCAAAGAAAGGUGGCAGAUUUCUCUCAAGAUUUUCUGUACCUUUGAUCUUUUAUUAUCCCUUUCCACUCAGUUGCAGAAAAUGAGCCAACAUAUUUCCUGUGCCAGGUUGUGUAUCCCUGUGCUGGGAUGGAUCCCUGUGCCUGCUGACCUCCUCUGCCUUAUAGCUAGGCAUGGUGGGAGGCAAAUGGAAAAACCUCACAAACUUCUUGAAUUGUGAAGUCAGAACAGAGGCCGUAUUUGUUAAAACGAUUGUCACGUCUUCAUUUUCCUUAUGUUCCUGGCACGUGAAUACAGGGUUUGGAACUGCCUGCCCUCCACUUGUCUUCAACAUGGAAGAACAUUCUAGCUCUGGUGGUGCUUUGUUCCACGUACAUCCCUUUGCCCAUAGAAGCACAGUGUCUGUUGAGCAGCUGCUUUGUGUGGGAAACUGAUCUCUAAGGCAGGACAGUUGUGCAUCUUAUCUUACCUUCCUAGCACUGGUGUGCAUGAAAUAAGUCUGAAGUCAUUUAACAAUCAUAGUGACUGACUCAAUUUUACAUGUUUUCCUAUUGUUUAAAAAGACUUCUCUGCUAAUUUUGGUUUUUACUGAAGGAACACUUUUAAGUAGUCUUUAUCACAGAUAUACACCUAAGCCUGCCCCAUGCAGGUCUUUCAGAAUGCAGUCUUUUCACUUAUUUCUCCAAAGAAAGCAAGGCAGGACAAAACGUGAAGCAUGUGUAAGUGAAUUGAUGGUGUACAGCCCGGUGGAAAAGGGACAUCCUUUAAGAUAAGGAAAAAACCUCUUGAACAAAUCUAUGUCUUGAUGGAUUCAGAAGUUGCCUGCUCGCUUGCUUGUUAAUGUGGGUCUAUUGUAACUGCUAGCUCAGCUGCCUGUUUGGCUUUGUGAAGAGCCUUCCAUACUGUAGUUUUCAAAUACAGAACUAAAACCAUGCUGAGCUUUUCUUCUGCCCUGACAAGAGCUUUUAUGUAUGUGCAGUGGCUGCCUUCCAUUUGUUAGCUUGUUCUUCAGCUCUGAGCAAAGCUGUGGAUGUGUUAGAAGCAGGCAAGGCAGCCCCAUGUCCUGGCAGCACCUCUGCUUAACCAGGAGCAGCAUUGCUGUGCCCCUGGGAGGGGUGGCCUAUGUGGUGGUUCAUUGUUUGCUCGUCCUUCUCUUGCUUCAAUGACAGAAUACAUUUUUCCUUUGAGAGGGAUAGGGAGAAUGGAAAAUAGUACCCUUCCUAAUGAAAAGACCUCAGGCUCUUUGUCAGUGGCAAGUCAGUUGUGAAUAUGGAUUUCCUCAAACAAACGUGCCCUAUGUGUACGUGCUGGCAGUCUGUUAAACAUCCUUGGCCUCGGCUGCUCUAUGUGGCAGGCUUGGAGGUAUGUGAUGCACGCAGAGUAUCUUCUUGCAGGUACUGGCAAUGAUGGGUUGAGUAUAAUAACAAGAAAUAAUCACAGAGUCUCUAACUAUUUUUUUAAAGAUACAUAUGAAUGUACAUAGGCACAUAACUGAUGAAAGGAACUUGCUUCAGCAUUAACUUGCUAGGCAGCGUGCUUGGCAUCACCCUGUGCCUCUCUUUGCAGUCUCAUACAGCAGUCCAAGCUGCCCGGGCACAGAGCCAGCAGUGCCUUUCAGCAGCACUCCGGGGACUGCCUGCCAUCAGGGUGCUGCACGGUCCCAUCCCACUGGGCUCCAUCAGCCAUCCCAGCAGUGUGUCCCCGCUCCCAGGGCUGUGGGGCUGCCCUGCACCCCGGGCAGUGCCGUGCAGGGCUCAGUGACAGCCGCCCCUCCGCCCAUCCCUGGCCCUGUGCCCUCCCCAGAGCCCCGGCCUUCUGACUGGGGCGGGAGGGGCAUCACCGGAGUGCGUGUCUGGGAAAGGCAGGCAGCUGAUACAGAGCCAGUGCUCACGGCCUAAAAACCUGAUCUGAUGGUUUCAGUGGAUCGAGUCCAUAUUUCUGUCACGCUCUCCCAGGAAAGAAAGAACCAGAGUAUUACUAGAAGCAGAAAAGGUGGUGGGUGGGAUUUGAGGUUGCUGGGUGACACUGGUUGGUCUUUUGAUCUCCCGGUGCAGGCUGCCCGUGGUUGCUCUCAUUUCCUGAAGAAUUGUGUUGUUAGCUGGGAAGUGCUGGAAAAGAAAGCAGUUUGUAUUGGGGUGUGCGGAAAUGAGGUCUUGUAGGGUUAAAAUACAUGAACCUGGAGUGAAACGUUUUUGUUGUCGUUACUUUUUCCCUUUCCAUAUUAAUUUCCUAUUGGUACAGAACUUCAUGUAAAUGCAGCUUUGUUAACUGCAGGUUUGAUUUCUCUCCUGUGUCUGAGCUCUAUGUAUAAUGGUACAAAAUGGGGAAGAACUGAGAAAUCUUUGUCUUUCUUCACAAAAGUGUUUGAGUCAAAAUAUAGACAAAAAUAUAAUGCUGAAAUAUCUGUAUUUAAAAUGCUUCCAGGUGCAGAAAUGCCAGGAGUUUGUUAAAGCAGGUAUGGAAUGCUGAAAAAUGCUUCCUUUCUGAAAUCAUGAAUUAAACCAAAUGGAUGAUUAGGAAUCAGAGUUAGACCACACAGCCAAAAGGCAAAGAAAGGUUUCUCAUUAUCUUGUGAUUUAAAUAUGUCUUUCAUUCAAAGAAAGGCUGUGAGAAAGGCUGUUUUUAGGCUGAAGUUUGGCAGAGCCCUGUGGUAGUGCAGCGGACCUGUAACAAAUCUGUCCUGUGUUCCAGAGACUUCCAAGUGCUCGUCUCAGAAGCUUGCUGUCCCUGUGUUGUUUCUCCCUGUGCUGGAACCACUGCAGUUCUGUGCUGUAGCUGUGGAUGGCUGGUAGGGGUGCGUUUAGUCCAAAAACAUGACUGUGUUUUUUAUCCUUGUGAUUGGACUCUGCUGCUGGUGGUUUCCUUAAAACAAAGGCAGACGCUGGCCGGCCAACUGGAGCUGUCUGGGGUAUUUCAAGUAUUUCUGGGUUUUCGCUGACAAGGAUAAAACCAUCUUGAGCUGCCUGUCCUUAAUGCUGCCUGCUUCUGGUUCGGCUAUUCCUCUUGGAAUUCCCAGGGUGUUUGGGAAUGCUGGCGUUGAGGGUAUGCAGCAGUGCUGACAUUGGCUGUUUCAGACCCCGCGUCCUUGUAACAUGAGGUACUGCAGUACAUGUUAUCUUUAAUAGAAAUAAGUUAAACAUCAACACAAAGAAAACAAUCAGGGUACAGGAAGACUGCAUGUCUGUUUCAUUACAGGAUAUGUGUGUCUUCAUUCUGCAGAAACUCUUCAUCCAUUUAUUCAGUGCUACAGUAUAUUCUGAGGACCAUUCGUUCCUCCAAGUUGAUUUUGUUCCACUGAAAAAGCUGCAGUUUUGACUGCCCUAUGCUUUGCAGGAGAUGGCAGCUGGUUCACACUGCACUGCCUCUCAGGAUGGCUUAACCUUGGUGUGGAAGGAACUGCAGAACUCCCCUCUGAGUCCCAGUCCUGUGUGUGGGUGGUGGUUUUGUUGUAUCCCUGUUGGAUGCACUUAAGUCUGCUUUAACCUCAGCAUGUAUCAGUUGAGCUUAAAGAUGAAUUCUAAAUCAUUAAACUCCUUUAUGAGCAUUUAGAAGGGAGUUUGGACAGGCUGAGCUGAACGGAUCAUAAAGGAUUGCUGCUAGGGAGGUGUGGGUUGUGCCGCGGCUCAGGCUGUAAUAUAAGACCACAUUCCUUUCCUGUGAGCUUUACUGUACGACUGCUGCCAAGUCACAAGAGUCCAUAAAGGCACUUGCAAGCUGAUAGACAGUUAAAUCCAUGGAGAGCAUCUGGAGGGGAGCAGGCUGCUGGACGGGAAGGAGCGUCCUCUCCAUUCAGCAUGUGAGAGACCAUUGCUUGCAAGCCUUGGUGCCUCGUAUCUAACAUCCCUGAGCUAGGUCUUGAAAACAGCUGCUCUUUUCAAAAAGCCCGUAUAACCCACAGUGAGGUGAUGAAGAUCAUUUAUUUUGGUUGUUUUCCUAUUUAAAAAAUCCAACACAACUAUUACACAGAGCAAGCAGAUACCAAGCUUGGUAAUCUGUCUUGUAACACUUGUUCUUCUGUUUCCUCUCAAAGAAGGAGUGUUCUCUAUAUUUCAUUUUAGCUUCUGGCUUUUGUCACCAAAAGCACCAGAGCAGCCUGCACCACAGCAGUGCCUGGGAGCACGGCGUUGUGCUGCUGGGCUCUGCGGCCUGCAGGGCCAGCAUGGGCAGCCCUGCUCUGCAUCCCCUUUUCUUUUCGUCCCGGCUGCUGAGGGAGAAGGAGCACACAGAAGCAGGAGCAGGAAGCAGUUUCUGGAAUAGCAGACAAAGUGCUGCCUGCAGUUCUCUUUGUACAUUUUCCAAGUAAUGACAGAAAUGUUCAAUUUUUCUUCUCUUGCUUUCAGACUGCAAUUUCAGCAACUUUGUCUUUCCUCUCCUGGGAAGAUUUGAAUGAAGAUGUAAAUGGUACAUGAACCCAUUGACAUCACACACGAGUCCAGAAGUGCAUAUUUAAUAGCACUCCCCAAAGCCAGCUGAGAAGCAGCUGUGCUCCUACACAUUCCGUGCAGCUCGUCUGGCUCCAUGGCCAUCCAGUGAAGUGCUGUGCUGACUUCCAGUUUCAGGUGCUUUGUAAGGCCUUUGCAAAGGCAGGAGAACCUCUGGGCAGGGCUGUUCCCAGCUCGGUACAGCACAGCCUCCCAUCCGCUCAGUGCUGGGCACUUUGCUGCACGUGAUCCUCGGCCUGCUGCAGGGACGGUCCUGCAACUUCACAGCACGUUUGUCCUGAGUAACUUGAAAAGUGUUUUAUGGAUGUUAGCAGUGAGUUUAAACAGCUCAUUCCUCACACCAGCUCUGCUGGACAGAGUUUCUGAUUUAGGGCCAGAAUCGCUUCUCUGGAGGAAUGCCCUUUCCAAGGUCGCAGUCACCUUUAGUUUGAUUGUGGUAUCAAACUAGUCUAAUUUUGAAGCCAACUGGAAAGCAGUAAGAAUAUUUUGUCCAAGGGGACUCGUGUUGUAGAUAAUAAUAAUCUCAGAAGGCUGCUUAGGCCGAAUGCCUCAGCUGUUCUCCUUCAGGCAGAGGCCUUUGGCAUAACACCACUUUGUCUGUCCAUAUCUUUUCCCCCUUCUUUUUAAAUCCAGACUUUUUCUCCUUUGGGAUUCCCUUCCUGGCUCAGGAAGUGUCUCUCUGUCCUCAGGUUUUUCCUUGUUAGUCAGUUAAAUGUGUUGCACGAAUUCUCACACAUCUCUGCUUCUGACAUGCUUGAGGUGUUUCUUUACUUUCUUGCCAUGUUGCCUUCUGCAUACUCUUCUCCUUUUUUUUCUUCCUCGCACCUGCACCUGUCAGUGCUUGAAUUCCAGCUGCCAGAGCCUCUGUUUGCAGACCAUGCAAUAAAUGUGCUUUGUAAACUGUGCUUAUGCAACACUUUGCAGUACUGAGCCCUGUGCCAGCACAAAGCUGUGUCAGUGUGCUGGGGUUCAGGUGCGCUCCUUUGCUGCAGGAGGAAGCACUGCUGUGUUACUGUAGGGGAUGCAGUGCUGACUCGGUGUUAGAAAAGAAACCUGGAUACUCUGCCGUGGUGUUCACUUAUCUGAGGCCCUCAGAAAGGAGUUCUGCAUGGACAGCUGGAGAUGUGCUUUGUAGAGGGGAGAGAGUAAGCUGAAGAGAGCUCUGAUGCUGCUGUUCUGUUUCCUGUUGCAUCAGUGAUGCAGGAGAUGUAGCAGAAGUGGGGCUGUAUUGUGUGCUUCCCUGACCAAUCCUUAAUAUAAUGACUUCUGGACCGCUUCCAAAAUCACCUGAAUUAGAUAGGGUACAAAAAAGAAGUCAAACAUGGGAGAAGAAAAAUACAAUACGACAGUACCAAGGAGUCCUACAUUUUCGUUUGCUAUCCAUUUUCUGACACUGACUUGCACUUCAUUUUGCAGAAGUCACUCUACGUACUUCUGUUUUCUUUCUUUCUGAUGAAAAACGAUGCUCAGUGGUGAUAGGAAAAACCAGCAGACAGAGGCAGGGUUGGAAUAAGAAAGAUGUAGGUGUAGUUCACUGCCAUGUCAGGAAGUUUCUUCCUUGCCCUGGACAUGUCCUUGAUGUGUCUGGACCUGGUGACAAAGUGGGAAGGAUUGCAGAGGGCAGUGACAGAGCUGGAGCUCAGUGGGUAGUGAGAUGAGGACUUCUGGGAGAUGCUUGAUUUGUGUUUGUAGUCCUUGUGCUUUUAGCAGAGCAUUGCUGCAUCUGAGUGCUGAGAUGUGCUUUGGGGUUUUGUGUACUUGUUUUACAUACGUGUGUGUAUGUACAUAAAGAUGUGUGUAGUUGGUCACAAUUAUUUUGGUAGAGCUAUAUGGAUUCUUAUGUAUUGCAUAUUGAAUUGCAUUCACUGUUAAUAGGCUCCUAUCUUAAUUAAUAUAAGGUUCUUUUAGGGAAGCAAAUGAGAAGGGUUUUGAAAACCUUUUCAACUCGAAGAUAAUGAGUUCUGAAAAUGUUGGUGUAGUGGAUGGGAAAAUGGAUGGAUUUAACAGAAGUUGAAUCUGGGACGUGGCCUUUUUUUCUUAAUGCUCUUUUGGGAAGCAGAGAUGUAAAGGGGCUUUGAAGUUCUGUACAGUAGGUUAGGAAAUAAGCUACAGCCAAGGUGGAGGAGGAGCAAAGGGCUCAGAUAGUAUGAUAAAAAUUAUUUCCUAACGAGAAGAUUGCUCAAGUGACGGCUAGAAAGCAAGAGCAGAGAUCUGACUGAAAAGGAGGCAACUGCAGAGCUUAAUGAAACCGUACUGCUGAAUCUCAGCACCCCUCCACAGACUGAAUUGUGAUGGUCCAGAUGUAUUUGAGCUAACUGGCAGGUUCAGCGCUCAACUGGGAACGCUCCUAAUAGCUCAGAAAGGAAAAGGCCACUUUUACAGCACGUUUAGGUAAGGAACGAGCUUAUGAAUGCCGAUACUGACCAAAAAGGGAUGAACUCCUUACACGUGACUUGGGAGCUUGGUGUGCAUUGUACCACGCCACGGAGAACUGGUGAAAUGAGAGCAGGUUCUCAUGUGGCUCCCCUGGCAUUCAGUCGAACUCACAGUUAGUCAGGUGCAAUCAGUCAUGGACAGCCAAAAUGGUGGCCUUCUUGAAGUCAGUAUAAAACUCCUGCAGCCUUUUGUGGAGCCAGGACCUCCUUGUUGCACGUGUUGAUGCAUAGUUUCCACUGAAGAAACCUCAGCCAAGAAGCUCAGCGAAGCGUGGAGUCUGAAUGUAGAGUACAAAUGGCAAACUUGGAUGUAAGGAGGAGAGGCAUGCUUCAGUGUCAGCUCGUUCAAGAAAAAGACAGAGGCAUCCAUGCCUCACACUCUGCAUCUCCUCGUUUUCUGAUUCUGUUGCUAUGGCAUUCAUAAAAUUCCAGUGUUUUUCAUGCAGCAAAGGGGAAGCAUGGUGUGCCACUGUGGGUGAAUAGCUGUCUGGGUGCCUGCGUCAGGUCCAGCAUUUCUGGCAAUCAGCCCAAUUUAGGUAAGUCAGUACGUAGGGCUGAGGUAUUUAACCUGAGGGAGAUGCAGCUUUCACCACUCAGCCUCCCCUUAGGGCAGUGUCCUGCUGCACGGAGCUGGGGUGCGUGGUCUGCCUGCUGCACGGCAGGGGGGAGCUGUGUGCUCCUGAUCCGAGCCCCUCCCUUACUGCCAGUCAUUAAGGAGGAUGGUCAGAACAUAGUGGUUCUCCAGAUAGUUUCUCAAUAUUAUUAUUUUUGAUAGGAACAGAAUGUUCAUUCCUCCUUUUUUUUUUU
ensembl:lncRNA